rnacentral:rRNA from 1 species
AUGGUGAUGCCCGCUGUUCUCAACUCCCUAACCUUCUUAUGUGUGCUUGCAGUUCUUGCUGCAAGUCAGGCUGAAGGGCGGCAUCAUGACCCUGAUUGUCCUUCUUUCUCGUGCGGCCCUCUUAGAAAUGUAUCGUUCCCAUUUCGUCAGGCAAGUGAUCCUCCUGGGUGUGGUUAUCAAUCUUAUGAGCUAAUUUGCAGUGAUACCAAGGCCGCAAUUCGCAUCGACGAUGCAACAUACUAUGUGCCUGCCAUCAACUACAGUGGUUCUUCCUUCUGGGUCAUCGAUGCCAACAUGGAUUUAUACAACAGCUGCCCUCUACCUCGGUGGAAUCGGCCUCCCUCUAGAUACCAUUACAACAUGGAAGUCGAAUUGGAACCCCUUUCACGUAGUCAGGCUUGCUUUCUUAAAUGCUCUCGGGAAGUAAAGGACAAUGGCAUGUACAUCAGGUUGCAGGUAGCUGCCGAUCGCACGAUCCAUCCCAUGACCUGGUCUUGA